GCCAAUGCUCCUCUAUGUCGCAUAGACCGCUAUGCCUCAUCAACGUCUCGCAAAAGCGUGUGCACCGAACGCGACCGUUCGCGCAGCAAAGUGUAGUUCGUGCGACGAGGCGAACGCCAUGCAACGAGUGCUGCGCCGGUGGAAGGAUCCGGCCGGGUGUGGCAUAUCCCUCCGCCGCACUACAACAAAUUAAUUUAUGUAUAUUUUUCCACAGAUCCUAGUCAUUCGGCGAGGCAGACAAGGCGAGCAGCCAAGCGAGACCAACAGGAGCCAUUCGACACACAACGCACAAGACAACUGCUGUCCGCCUACACCUUCAAGGUCACCUGCUGUUGUCGCCUAGAGUCCUACUUCUAGAACUUGGACUGUGAUAAGUCUUCUUCAUCACUGGCUGUGGCCAUAAACUGUGAGACUUGUUCUUCCUGCAGAUGCGAGGACUUAGAAUAAUUGGCGAGUCGAAGAAGCGAGGGGUAAUUGAUACUCACUUUAGACUUAGUAGUUUGUGACUGUAACGAGCAAGGCUGACAGAGGUGGGCAUGUGGCGACAGCAAGGUUGAGAGCAGACGAGUGUGUUAGGCAAAUGAGCAGCUGAUUGCAGACUUUAUUUUACAUGAAAUGUUGGAGUAGUACGGGCUGAGAAUUUGUGUCGCAAUUAAAAGAACUUAGCCUGCCGUCGAACCUGCGAAAUACACACACUGGGGAGCAUUGAAAAUUUUCUGUGAGCAAAAAUUUGGCAAGACGAUAUGUAUUGAUGUGACAUUAGGGAGUUGUAACAUUAAACUUAGGAAUAACGGCCUGCUUUGAUACUUUGACAAGAUUGCCAUAGAAGUCACCGGUCAAAGUCCAUGUGGCGUCCAGUUGUCUUCUGCUACUCGGAGUUGUGGUAUCCAGUCUGGCGAGUACGAGCACCCCCAGUCUCCUGUUGCUGAGGGGCGUUCGAAGUCUGACAACACCACUCUGACCAGUGAACUUCACGCCUUUUAGAGGAGACAAACAGCAAUAAAUAAUUUAAGGUGAGUUAGUCUUGGAAUAAGAGACUUGUAUAAGUGUUUUGGGAUUUAUUGUAGGCUUCAGAUUUGUACUUACAAAUUAUAAGAAAUUGUAGUAAAUAGUAUCUUAAACUUAUUUAACUUUCGUAUUGUAAUUUUGCUUUUUUUUUGUAUAAUUUUGUAUGUUGUUUGUAAUUGCAGUUGAUGUGUUUGAUUUAUGUGUCAUUCUGUUAAUGGCCAUUAGCUGUGAAAUGGUACAUAAAACAAAACAGAUACAUAAAUAAAAGUAAUCUGUG